GAUGAACGCUGGCGGCGUGCCUAAUACAUGCAAGUCGAGCGAACAGACGAGGAGCUUGCUCCUUUGACGUUAGCGGCGGACGGGUGAGUAACACGUGGAUAACCUACCUAUAAGACUGGGAUAACUUCGGGAAACCGGAGCUAAUACCGGAUAAUAUAUUGAACCGCAUGGUUCAAUAGUGAAAGACGGUUUUGCUGUCACUUAUAGAUGGAUCUGCGCCGCAUUAGCUAGUUGGUAAGGUAACGGCUUACCAAGGCAACGAUGCGUAGCCGACCGGAGAGGGUGAUCGGCCACACUGGAACUGGGACACGGUCCAGACUCCUACGGGAGGCAGCAGUAGGGAAUCUUCCGCAAUGGGCGAAAGCCUGACGGAGCAACGCCGCGUGAGUGAUGAAGGUCCUCGGAUCGUAAAACUCUGUUAUUAGGGAAGAACAAAUGUGUAAGUAACUAUGCACGUCUUGACGGUACCUAAUCAGAAAGCCACGGCUAACUACGUG
rnacentral:rRNA from 1 species